AAAAACAUUUAUUGGCAUGAUUUUUUAGACCAACUUAUUAGAUGCAUCAAACAAACAAGUUCACAUUCAACAUAAUCUCUGGUGACAUUAACCAGACAAAGUCGACCACACCAUCGGGCCAUAGAUGACAGCUUGCCCAUGGAUCUGAAGCACCAGCACGUAAUCUCCAUCCUUCAACCCCACACUCUUGCUCCCCCACAGCUUCUUAUACCCGUCAUCAUUUACAGUCAAAACCCCUCUAUGGUCCAGCCUGGCAAAGCAGUGCUUCCCCUUCCCCUCCGUCCCCGACGUCCACAGGUCCCCCUCCGACGCCUUCACCAGCGCCAGUCCACAGUCGGCUUUCAUCACAAAUGUGUAGUCCCUCACCGUCAGCUUAGCACCGUUGUACAACACCUGGUCCGAAAACAACAUGUUGUUCACCAUUGGAAGGGCGGCCAGUUCGGCCCCGAAGGGGGCGGGGGAGGUGGACUUAGGGACUGGUACGGUCCAAACUGUGGGGCCGUAGACGGCGACCUGUCCGUCGGGACGGAGGAUGGCAGCGUAGCGGCCGCGGGUGGAGGCGGCGGUGGAGGACCAGACGGUGGAGUUGUCGGAACUGAGGAUGAGGAGCUGGCCGAGGUCGGAGAGGGUGAGGGUGCAGUUAGUGCCGGCGCCGUGGGUGUUUGACUGGAAGCCGUUGGCUUUGUUGUAGAGGACGAGGUUGCAGUCGUCUUGGAUGACGAAGGUGGCGACGGAGUUGGAGAGCUGGCUGUCGGUGUUGAGAACUUCGCCGGUGAGGAGGAGAUUGUUCUCGUCGGCGGUGGAGGUGGAGAGAAGGAGGAGGAGUAGGACGGCGGUGAGGAGGAACGCGGGGGCUGGGGGUCGGAGUGCCA
rnacentral:misc_RNA from 1 species